rnacentral:rRNA from 1 species
UAGAGUUUGAUCCUGGCUCAGAAUGAACGCUGGCGGCGUGCUUAACACAUGCAAGUCGAGCGAGAAAGCUCCUUCGGGAGUGAGUAGAGCGGCGAACGGGUGAGUAAUACGUAGGAAUCUACCCUUCAGUGAAGAAUACCUCCGAGAAAUUGGAGUUAAUACUGCAUACGUUCCUUCGGGAAGAAAGGUGGCCUCUUGCUACCGCUGAUGGAUGAGCUUGCGCGCUAUUAGUUUGUUGGUGGGGUAAAAGCCUACCAAGACGAUGAUGGCCAGCCGGCCUGAGAGGGUGUACGGCCACACUGGAACUUAGACACGGUCCAGACUCCUACGGGAGGCAGCAGUGGGGAAUAUUGCGCAAUGGGCGAAAGCCUGACGCAGCGACGCCGCGUGGAGGAUGAAGGUUUUAGGAUCGUAAACUCCUGUUAAGUGGGAAGAAAGGCUUGUUCUUAAUACGGACAAGAUAUGACGGUACCACUAGAGAAAGCACCGGCUAACUUCGUGCCAGCAGCCGCGGUAAUACGAGGGGUGCAAGCGUUAUUCGGAAUCAUUGGGCGUAAAGGGUGCGUAGGCGGCACAUUAAGUCAGUUGUUAAAUUCCUUGGCCUAACCAAGGGUCAGCGACUGAUACUGUUGUGCUUGAGGGUGGAAGAGAGAAGUGGAAUUCUCGGAGUAGCGGUAAAAUGCGUAGAUCUCGAGAGGAACACCGAUGGCGAAGGCAGCUUCUUGGUCCAUUCCUGACGCUGAGGCACGAAAGCGUGGGUAGCAAACAGGAUUAGAUACCCUGGUAGUCCACGCUGUAAACGAUGAUCACUAGAUGUCAGUUUUGUUUAACAAGAUUGGUAUCGCAGCUAACGCGUUAAGUGAUCCGCCUGGGGAGUACGGUCGCAAGAUUAAAACUCAAAGGAAUUGACGGGGGUCCGCACAAGCGGUGGAACAUGUGGUUUAAUUCGAUACUACGCGAGAAACCUUACCUAGGCUUGACAUGUAUUUGACCGUUGUAGAAAUACAAUUUUUUGGAUUUCGGUUCAAACAGAUACACAGGUGCUGCAUGGCUGUCGUCAGCUCGUGUCGUGAGAUGUUGGGUUAAGUCCUCUAACGAGCGCAACCCCUGCCAUCAGUUGCUAUCCUUCGGGAGCACUCUGGUGGGACUGCCUGGGAAACCAGGAGGAAGGUGGGGAUGACGUCAAGUCCUCAUGGUCCUUAUGCCUAGGGCUACACACGUGUUACAAUGGCCAGCACAAAGGGUCGCGACUUCGCAAGGAGAAGCCAACCCCUUAAAUCUGGUCUAAGUUCGGAUUGAGGUCUGCAAUUCGACCUCAUGAAGUUGAAAUCGCUAGUAAUCGCGUAUCAGAACGACGCGGUGAAUACGUUCACGGGCCUUGUACACACCGCCCGUCACACCACGAAAGCUGUCUGUACCCAAAGUUGCUUUAGCUAACCCGUAAGGGAGGCGAGUACCUAAGGUAUGGGGAGUGAUUGGGGUGAAGUCGUAACAAGGUAACC